GAAACGAGGACGCGGAACGUUCGCUCGUCGGCCAACGAUGGAGGAACGUCCAACGUCCGGUUAACCGCGGUUUUUACCGUUCGCCCGCCAUUUUUCUCCAAUUUCGCGUAACUGAUGACGUUUUGAUGGCGGCAUCGUGUUUACAGGCGAGUUAACGACCUCUGAUGAAGAAGUCUUCCACGUCGAGAGAGGCGCUAAGGACACUUUGAUGAUGUUUGCGUAUUAACUAACGAUCCACCUGUGCGAAUUCUCCUUGAUGGAAGGGAAUCGAGGAUGAAAUUGAUGCGCGUGCCGGUUGUUAACGAGCAGAACUGCCAUUUUUGUGGUAAGUGGUUUCGAGAGUUAGGUUAGGAGAUGAAGGUUUGAAGUUUUGCUCGAGUCGAGGCACGCAUGCGCUCUCCUCCUCCCACGCGCCAUCUUCAUUCGCGGAGAUCGAGUUUCGUCGAAAGAGAUAUCUUAUCUUUAGGAUCCUAAAAAAAAGAAAAAGAUGAAGGGAAAGUUUGGUUAGAAUUCUGGCCGAAAAACUUUAAUCGACUACUUCAGUCGUUUAAAGGGGAGAUGAUAUAAUUAGUUGAAAGAAAGGAAAAGAAUAAUGCGGUUGGGGGGACGUCGAUAACGGGACAAAAACGCAGGAGGCGCAUAAACAAUUUCCUCGUUAAUCAUAAAGGAUCCGAAGUGCGCUUCGAUCGCUUUUCCCACCCAGUUUUCCAUUACAUAUCGCACGUACGAUCGUGCUCGAUUCGCUCUGAAUUGCAGAUUUUCCAUUUUCUUAAUCGCAACUCGGUCGGUUUCUUUUUUUCUUCUUUCUCCUUUUUUCCUUCCUUAUCCACCCAACCAAUCUGCAACGCGUCGCGAUUUCGUAUCGAGAUUAAGUAUUCAAAAACUCGAGCAAUCGAUCGCCCACCUCGAUGGAACACAAUAAUAUCCGAUAAGAAUUAAUUUAAAUAAUUUCCUAUUUACAUAGAUUACUCUAUUUGCGCGUAGAUUGGCGCGCGAUAAUGAGAAAAACGAUUUAUCGAUUUUUUUUUUUUUUCGCAGUUA